CCAGACUCCUACGGGAGGCAGCAGUGAGGAAUAUUGGUCAAUGGGCGAGAGCCUGAACCAGCCAAGUAGCGUGCAGGAUGACGGCCCUAUGGGUUGUAAACUGCUUUUAUAAGGGAAUAAAGUGAGCCUCGUGAGGCUUUUUGCAUGUACCUUAUGAAUAAGGACCGGCUAAUUCCGUGC
rnacentral:rRNA from 1 species